UUCCUGACUCAUUAGUAAACCGUGAAUACCUGUCUCUGUCGUUACUAUUUCACAAAGAAGCGAGAGAAUCAUCAUGUCAACAAAACUGUUCGCAAUCCUGUUUGUUGUUAUGGCUGUAAUUGUGGUGCAGAACACCGAGGCAUCGGCUACUGACAGGUUCUUCAAGAACGCCGGUUCUAAACCAAUUGUUAAAAGGGAGUUAGACUUUUGCUACAUGGAAAAUUUGAAGAUGUAUUGCGACUGUGGCACAAAGAGUGUGUGUAUGCCAGAAGGUGCAUUUCUUGGAUAGACGGCACGCGGCAAUUCGACGUAAUCGCAUGAAUUGCUCUAAGCCUCGGCAUUCCAAAUGUCUACAAUUCUACAUCAUCUCUUUAUUAUAAAUAAAACGGCACGACGUGCCAUUGAGAGUUUGUUUUGGAGGUCUUUUAUUCUUACAUAGUAGUUAUAUUGUAUUUAGUGUCUGAACGAUGAUUUGCACGCAUAUACGAAUGAUGAUCUUGCCUUCAGUGGUUAGACCUAGUUAACCCCCAAAUGACUUGCGCUAUCAUCAUCUUCUUCUUAAUUUGCAUGCAAUGUAAAGGAAUAUCUUUCCAGUUUGUGAACACAUGAUAAAUAUCAAAUUGUAGCAACAAGCAUGGAAAUGAAAGAGUCAAAGAUUGUACGAAUUUCUUCUCCAAAUGUUUACACCUAAUAAACAAUUAUUUAACAACA